CUGCCCACUGAAUGAAGUUUAAAGGGCCGCGGUAUUAUGACCGUGCAAAGGUAGCAUAGUCAAUAGUCUCUUAAUUGGAGGCUGGAAUGAACGGUUGGACGGGAAGAUAGCUGUCUUAACUGAGUACUACGAAUUUGACUUUUAUGUGAAAAGGCAUAAAUGGUUUGGGGGGACGAUAAGACCCUAUAAAACUUUAUAAUUUGAUUAGGAAUUUGAUUUGAGUUUAAUAUGUGCCUAAGGAUUGUUAUUUCGCUGGGGAGGUGGAAAUAAAAUUCUUCUAACUGUUUUAUAAUGUAAAUAACAAUAAUUAGAUGAUGACCCUGAAUUUUGGUUUAAAAGUUUAAGUUACUUUAGGGAUAACAGCGUAAUCUCUCUUGAGAGUUCAUAUCGACAGAGAUGGUUGCGACCUCGAUGUUGAAUUAAAAUUUCCUACAGGAGUAGAAAUUUGUGGGGUAGGUCUGUUCGACCUUAAAGU
rnacentral:rRNA from 1 species